GACGAACGCUGGCGGCGUGCUUAACACAUGCAAGUCGAACGGAAAGGCCUGCUUUCCCUUGUGGAUUGCGGGUACUCGAGUGGCGAACGGGUGAGUAACACGUGAGUGAUCUGCCCCCAACUUGGGUAUAAGCCUGGGAAACUGGGUCUAAUUCCCGAUAGGACUGCAGGGUGGUGCCGGUGGUGGAAAACGAUUUUCUAGUGGUUGGUGAUGAGCUCGCGGCCUAUCAGCUUGUUGGUGGGGUAAUGGCCUACCAAGGCGGCGACGGGUAGCCGGCCUGAGAGGGUGGACGGCCACAUUGGGACUGAGAUACGGCCCAGACUCCUACGGGAGGCAGCAGUGGGGAAUAUUGCACAAUGGGCGGAAGCCUGAUGCAGCGACGCCGCGUGGGGGAUGACGGCCUUCGGGUUGUAAACUCCUUUCGACCGCGAGGAAGCCACCUGGUUGGAAGGGUGGUGACGGUAGUGGUAGAAGAAGCACCGGCUAACUACGUG
rnacentral:rRNA from 1 species